GACUGGCCUGUUACAGUGUGUUUACAACUCGUUGAUCACAAUCAGUUACAGAUUUCUUUAUCCCUUUUCCACUCCCACUGCUUAUUUGAUUAGCCUUUA
rnacentral:Y_RNA from 1 species